rnacentral:rRNA from 1 species
UACGUAGGAGGCGAGCGUUGUCCGGAGUUACUGGGCGUAAAGGGCGCGUAGGCGGGCUGCCAAGUCCGGGGGUGAAAUCUUUCGGCCCAACCGGAAAAGUGCCUUGGAUACUGGCGGCCUGGAGGGAGGCAGGGGCGGAUGGAACUUCCGGUGGAGCGGUGAAAUGCGUUGAUAUCGGAAGGAACGCCGGUGGCGAAAGCGAUCCGCUGGACCUCUUCUGACGCUGAGGCGCGAAAGCCAGGGGAGCAAACGGGG